rnacentral:rRNA from 1 species
GAAGAACGCUGGCGGCGUGCCUAAUACAUGCAAGUCGAGCGAACGGACGAGAAGCUUGCUUCUCUGAUGUUAGCGGCGGACGGGUGAGUAACACGUGGAUAACCUACCUAUAAGACUGGGAUAACUUCGGGAAACCGGAGCUAAUACCGGAUAAUAUUUUGAACCGCAUGGUUCAAAAGUGAAAGACGGUCUUGCUGUCACUUAUAGAUGGAUCCGCGCUGCAUUAGCUAGUUGGUAAGGUAACGGCUUACCAAGGCAACGAUGCAUAGCCGACCUGAGAGGGUGAUCGGCCACACUGGAACUGAGACACGGUCCAGACUCCUACGGGAGGCAGCAGUAGGGAAUCUUCCGCAAUGGGCGAAAGCCUGACGGAGCAACGCCGCGUGAGUGAUGAAGGUCUUCGGAUCGUAAAACUCUGUUAUUAGGGAAGAACAUAUGUGUAAGUAACUGUGCACAUCUUGACGGUACCUAAUCAGAAAGCCACGGCUAACUACGUG